CAAAGUUCCGAUUUUUUCUUCUUCUUUAUGUUAGGGUCAAAAUCUGUUUUGGUAUUACUAGAUUCACUCAAAUUUAGUUGUUUCCGUGAGUAAUUACAUUGUGCAUUUGCACUUUUAAUAAUUUUUAUAGGUUAUUAUAUACUUUAGAACCCUAAUUUAGAUCGGUGGUACAAAAUCUUAAAUUUAGUCUACUUGAGCAAUUCCUAUUACUGAUUUUUUUCAUUUGAGAUCAUAAGAAGGUUACUUGAUGGAUGGAGGAUUUGUAACAAUACAUUCAAUCAAAGCAAUGAUAACAUCAGUUUGUUCCGUAUCAAUUAAAUUGAGCAAAGCAAAUAUUAUUCAGCUCAGUUCUAUGGUCUCAUCCAUGCUCAUUUGGUGGUUCCUAAAGUUUAUUAUUGGCUUUGGAAGUCCUGUUGCAUUAUGAAGACAAAGGUCUAUGCAUGGUUGCUUUUAAAGGAUCGAUUAAAUGCAAAUGGCCUUCUGGUUCGUAUGAAUUGGAAGGUAGCUGAAGAUUCUCACUGUGUUCUUGGCCCUCUGAAAACGCAUGAAGAUAGAUUGCAUCUCUUUUAUGGGUGCAAUUUCAGUCAACUGGUACUAUUUGCAAGUGGACUGGAUACAAAACGAUGAUCUGCAGAUUGUACUGUCAAGAAGAGCUUUCCCAAACCAUUCUUUAUGGAGUGCUAUGCAAAAAAAAUUCAGGCAUGAUCAGCCAUCGUUUUCUAGAUGGAAGUGUGGCUUUACUCAUGACAUGUCUCUGCUUAGGCAUAGACUUAAGGCAAACCAUCUGGUAACUGCUCUUUGUGGGAAUGCAUACUCCUUUUGCUACUCAAACUGAGGAAAUUAAAGCAAUUGCAGCACUGUACUGCAGAUGUUGAGUUCGGGGUAUCUCAUGAAAGUGUUUUACUCAUUGACACUCAGUAGCCAGUAUGCAGUCCGUCCAUCCUACUUGUUAGGAUGAGGCAUGGUGGUUCUUCCACACUUCCUGUUCUUAACGACGAUCCAUUAUCAGAGGCUUGGCCCAUGAUCUAAUGGGAAUCCAGGUUAAUGUUUUACUUUAGUUUUCACAUUUGAUUGUGUUGCCACUAGCUUUACCUUCAGAAUACCCAAUACCUGAUCAGUAUUUUUUUGUUGUUCUACAAGGAAUUUCUAUAAAUGGUGUUUUCUUGGCAUCAUCUGUAAUAUUUGUUGGUCGUGUUGGAAGAGU